CCUCAGUAACGGCGAGUGAAGCGGUAACAGCUCAAAUUUGAAAUCUGGCUCUUUCAGGGUCCGAGUUGUAAUUUGUAGAAGAUGCUUCGGGUGUGGCUCCGGUCUAAGUUCCUUGGAACAGGACGUCAUAGAGGGUGAGAAUCCCGUAUGUGACUGGUUGCCUUCGCCCAUGUGAAGCUCUUUCGACGAGUCGAGUUGUUUGGGAAUGCAGCUCUAAAUGGGUGGUAAAUUUCAUCUAAAGCUAAAUAUUGGCCAGAGACCGAUAGCGCACAAGUAGAGUGAUCGAAAGAUGAAAAGCACUUUGGAAAGAGAGUUAAACAGUACGUGAAAUUGUUGAAAGGGAAGCGCUUGCAACCAGACUUGCACCCCGUCGAUCAUCCUCCGUUCUCGGGGGUGCACUCGGCGGGGUUCAGGCCAGCAUCGGUUUCGGUGGUGGGAUAAAGGCCUUGGGAACGUAGCUCCUCUCGGGGAGUGUUAUAGCCCUCGGUGCAAUGCCGCCUACCGGGACCGAGGACCGCGCUUCGGCUAGGAUGCUGGCGUAAUGGUUGUAAGCGACCCG
rnacentral:rRNA from 1 species